CGCACACAGUCUGCGUGCCCUGCUGCGCGGGUCUUGCUGGGAAAUGUAGUUCUGUGGCUUCGAGGAACCCCUAUCUGCGCCUCAGUCUGGACUACCAAUCCCAUAAUGCUCUCCGCGACGGAAUGCGCAAUCGCCGGCGACGGGCUCCGGCACUUCGCUCUGUGAAGUACCAUUAGCCGCGGGAAUAUCAGUAUGGUGACUCCUUACCCUGGGGAAGUGUACUUAGGCCACGGCUAGCAGUGAGAACGUGGCCAUGGACAAGAAUUCCAAGUAGUGGCACUUCUGUAGACGACGCGGCCCUUUUGGGGUUACUACAGCCCAGGAAACUCACAUGCGACACGGCGCCAGCUGAAGUCCAUCUAGACCCCCGCAGACCCAAGGUCACAAGUUGAGAACCCCCUGCCGUGGACAUUCUUCUGCACCUAGUGGUGAAGCAGGUGGAGCUGCACCUUGCUCCGCCCAUUUGGAGACUGGUUCUGCACAUAUGAGUGUGCCCUGCAGCGAUCCUGCAAUCCUUCGUGACUAACAAGGACUUUCUGUGAAAACAGAUUUAUCUUUUCUUCUCUACCUUUAAGGUUUCUUGCUGUUGAGAAUAGUUAAGGGACGAGGAAUUCUUAUUGCCCCCAUUUUACAGGCAAAGAAACUAAUGCUGACCCCAACCUUACCGACCACUUGGAGGUCCCUAAAAACACAUGACCUUUGUGUUUCUCGGCUGUUAGUGGAAUCCUUUCUGUCUGCUCAUGAACUCAUCUUCAAACGCAUUCCAGGCCUUCAGAACUCUUCCGUGAGCGCAAGUCACUGAUUGCACUAGAAAGAACCACAUGGGGUUUAUUCUUCCCUCUUUCAAGAAACCUAAUGAAAUUGGGCUGAGAUUCCAAGGAACUCCUGGAAAAGAGUUAUCAGUGCCAGAAUGAAAGAUCCUAGAGGCAGAGCCCACCGUUCUACUCUAUUUAUAGUGGUGAAAGAGAAAUAUACCUCUUACCUAAGUAGACCUGCCUGAAGACCUGCCUUGACCUACAGCAUUCCUGAGAUGACUGUGCCAAUCAAGUCCCUUUGGAGCCCUGGUUUUCUCAUAUUCAUGGUGUUGUGUAUUCAGGGCUUAUUAAGGCAUGUAAGUUAACUGAAGAGAAGAAGCUUUCUUUGUGUUCUCUGAGAAUAGGUCUUAUGGGCUUGGUUGUUGACCAAAUUGGG
rnacentral:lncRNA from 10 species